UUUCCGUAGGUGAACCUGCGGAAGGAUCAUUCAUAAUAAGUGUUUUAUGGCACUUUUUUAAAUCCAUAUCCACCUUGUGUGCAAUGUCAGGGUUGAUUUUUCUCUCGAGAGGAUCAACCCCAAACAUCAACUAUAUCUCAACUCUAUGUCUGAAAAAUAUUAUGAAUAAAACAAUUCAAAAUACAACUUUCAACAACGGAUCUCUUGGCUCUC
rnacentral:misc_RNA from 1 species